CAGGCUCCAGGCUCUGAGCUGUCAGCACAGAGCCCGAGAAAAUGGGCACGUACAGCUGCCUCAGCCUAAGAAUGUGGUGAUGAGCAGCUCAGACUCUUCUAGGGUGAGGAUCCAGUUAACCUUCCUGUGUGGAAGUCAUCUACACCAGCAGAAGUGUGAUGCGAAGGAUCAAUUGUUCCUGGUUCUACAGCAGACUACCUUUGGACUCAAAUUGGAACACUGGCUUUUCUGAGUCUCUAGCCAGUUGGCUCACCCUAUAGAUUUUGGACUAAAUCAUUUAAUUAAUCAUAUAUAUGAUAUAUAUAAUACAUACGUAUUAUGUAUUAUACAUAUUAUGUAUUAUAAUAUACAUAUAUAUAUAUUCUCCUGUUUGUUCCAUUUCCCUUGAGAACCCUGACUAAUAUGACUACUUCAUCUAGUAAAGAAUAAAUAUCACUCUAUAUAGCAAAGGAUGUAAUUAACUCAAGGAUUCUGAGUGGAGGAUUUAUCUUGGAUAGUCUGCAUGGGCUCUAAAUUCAAUGGCAAAUGUCCUAACGAGAGUGAGGCAGAGGGAGAUUUAACAGAAGGAAGCAGUGGAGGCCAUGUGACUGGAGAGGCAGAGAUUGGAGUCAUAAAGCCACAAGUCCAGGAAUGCCAAUAGCCACAGCAAGACGCAGCAGCAGAACUGAGCUCACAGAAAUUUCUGUUGCUUUAAGCCACCCUGAACUAGAAAUCCAUAGAUGUGUUGCCCAAGCCUCAAAAUGUGGUAAGAUGUACUCUCAGGUUCCUUUAAGGAUCAAAUGCACUGCCUCUCCUCCAAAGACCAACCACACAUGCGGGUUUGGGAUAAAUUCCAGUUAGCAGUUGCCAUGUUGCUCCUGAGACCACCGUGCCUCUGUGAGCUUCAGGGUCACUUUCCUAGAUUCACUCCCAUGUUACAGAGAUGCCAUGAGUUCUCUUUCAGCAUUCUCCACUGUCCCUCCUUGAGGGUGGACCUCUUUCUGGACCACUCAGGUCCAUCUCAAGUGUUUGUGUCUCUAAGUGGACAUAGUAGUGUCUCUAAGUGGACAGGAUCUAGUUCUUUCCCCCAGCACAUCACGUGAUUUGUGUUGGAGCCAUCCUGCGCAGAACCACUUGCCAAAAAUAUGACAGUGCAAGAGCCUGAGCAGCUGAAAGGACUUUACACUUAACUUACAACUAUUCUUACAGCAUCAGUCGGCAACCUGUUAGAUAUGCAAAUGUUGGGCCCCUCCCUAGAACUAGGAAGUCAGAAACCCUAGUAUUAGAGGCCCAGCGAGCUAUGUUUCAACAAGCCCUCCAGUGAUUUUCUGAUGAUAUUCUGGCUUAGGUGGUUAUUGACAACAUUUUCAUAAUAAAUUUACACUUGGAUGACGAUUUCUGUGGCUUUUUAUAAAGUAAACAAUAACAGCAGAAAACAUUUCUUCUUGGGUGAGCAUAACUGCAAGCAGAAACAAGAAGUACCAGAAAGAAAAGAUAAAUAAAGUAAAUUGCAAUGAUUAAGAUCAUGUAUGAUUCAUUACCUACUUUACAGAUUUGGCCAUAAUUAAUUUUUGUAGUUUAAAUAGAUACUGAGAAAAGCCUAGCUGGGUAUCUGUUCCUAUAACCCCCCUCUUUAACACAUUGUUCUUCAACUUUCUGAUUCAAAAUCCAAGACAAAUAAUUACUUUUAGAAUGGCCAAAAAUUAUGUAUCAGCACAGUCACUAGCACUUAAAAGUCCUGAUUUAAAUCUCAAUUCAACCAUUCACUGGUCUAAUAAUCUCAGACAAGUUUCUUACAAUGUCCCAGUUCUUGGAAAUAUUAAAAUAGCUUGAUGAUAUCUACCUUAUUAUUGUAUUGUAGAUUCUGUAAUAAAAUCAUGAAUACAAAGAAUAAGAGAAUAUGUGGCAUAUAAUAAGCACUCAGUAAUUAAUAGGUACUAUUUAUUUUAAGCCUCAAAAAAAAUACCUUCUCUCUCCCUCUCUCUCUCUCUUUCUCUCUCUCUUUCCUUCAUGGUCUGUGUCUCCUGACAAUUGUAAUCUCUCCCAUUUUCUCUUUUAUUAUUGUCAAACACAGAGAAUAUAAAUAUAUGAGAUGGCUGGGGAGACUUGGCAGUCUUUUCAUAUUUACUUGGUGUGUUAGAUGCAAAUUCAAUUUAUGGUUAUCUCACUAAGAAUAUGA